rnacentral:rRNA from 1 species
UACGGGGGGGGCAAGCGUUGUUCGGAAUUACUGGGCGUAAAGGGCUCGUAGGUGGCCAACUAAGUCAGACGUGAAAUCCCUCGGCUUAACCGGGGAACUGCGUCUGAUACUGGAUGGCUUGAGUUCGGGAGAGGGAUGCGGAAUUCCAGGUGUAGCGGUGAAACGCGUAGAUAUCUGGAGGAACACCGGUGGCGAAGGCGGCAUCCUGGACCGACACUGACACUGAGGAGCGAAAGCCAGGGGAGCAAACGGG